GAUGAACGCUAGCGGCAGGCUUAAUACAUGCAAGUCGAGGGGCAGCACAGUGUAGCAAUCCACGGGCGUCAACCGUCAAACGGGUGCGGAACACGUCCGCAACCUACCCAGAACUGAUGAAUAGCCCUCCGAAAGGGGGAUUAAUACAUCGUAACUUAAGGAAGCGGCAUCGCUUUAUUAAUAUGGCCCCGGCGGUUUGGGAGUGGCGUGCGCCUGAUUAGGUAGAGGGCGGGGUAAGGGCCCACCAAGCCUGCGAUCAGUAACUGGUGUGAGAGCACGACCAGUCACACGGGCACUGAGACACGGGCCCGACUCCUACGGGAGGCAGCAGUAAGGAAUAUUGGUCAAUGGACGCAAGGCUGAACCAGCCAUGCCGCGUGAAGGAUGAAGGUCCUCUGGAUUGUAAACUUCUUUUGAAUGGGAAGAAACCUCUUUUUCUUGAGAGACUGACGGUACCAUUAGAAUAAGCACCGGCUAACUCCGUG
rnacentral:rRNA from 1 species